GACGAACGCUGGCGGCGUGCUUAACACAUGCAAGUCGAACGGAAAGGCCCUGCUUGUGUGGGGUGCUCGAGUGGCGAACGGGUGAGUAACCCGUGAGUAACCUGCCCUUGACUUUGGGAUAACUUCAGGAAACUGGGGCUAAUACCGGAUAGGAGCUCCUGCUGCAUGGUGGGGGGCGGAGAGUUUCGGCGGUUGGGGAUGGACUCGCGGCUUAGCAGGUUGUUGGUGGGGUAGUGGCUGACCAAGGCUUUGACGGGUAGCCGGCCUGGGAGGGUGACCGGCCCCAUUGGGACUGAGAUACGGCCCAGACUCCUACGGGAGGCAGCAGUGGGGAAUAUUGCAAAAUGGGCGGAAGCCUGAUGCAGCAACGUCGCGUGCGGGAUGACGGCCUUCGGGUUGUAACCCGCUUUCGCCUGUGACGAAGCGUGAGUGACGGUAAUGGGUAAAGAAGCACCGGCUAACUACGUG
rnacentral:rRNA from 1 species